GACGAACGCUGGCGGCGUGCUUAACACGUGCAAGUCGUACGGUAAGGCCCUUUCGGGGGUACCCGCGUGGCGAACGGGUGGGUAACACGUGAGUAACCUGCCCACAACAUUGGGAUAACGCUAGGAAACUGGUGCUAAUACUGGAUAUGUACUCCUGCUGCAUGGUGGGGGUUGGAAAGCUCCGGCGGUUGUGGAUGGACUCGCGGCCUAUCAGCUUGUUGGUGGUGUAGUGGCCUACUAGGGCGGCGACGGGUAGCCGGCCGUAGAGGGGGACCGGCCACAAUGGGACUGAGAGACGGCGCAGACGCCUACGGGAGGCAGCAGUGGGGAAUAUUGCCCAAUGGGCGCAAGCCUGAUGCAGCAACGCCGCGUGCGUGAUGACGGCCUUCGGGUUGUAAACCGCUUUCAGCAGGGACGAAGCUUUUUGUGACGGUACCUGCAGAAGAAGCACCGGCUAACUACGUG
rnacentral:rRNA from 1 species